UCUCGGGAGAUAUUGCUACAAAGUUUGUAAAGUCAAAUGAUCAGCUUGCAGACAUUUUCACCAAGUCCCUCACUGGUCAUCGUAUUAACUACAUUUGUAACAAGCUCGGUACAUAUGAUUUAUAUACACCAGCUUGAGGGAGAGUGUUAGAAUAUGUAAAUAGUAGUAAAAUAACUCUAAUCCAAUAUGUAUUAGGAUUAGGAUAUGUUAUGUGUAUAUAUAGGGCUCAUUGUAUCAUAUUUAGUAUCAAUUAUUAUAUUUCUCUCGUGCUUUCUCACAGUUGUUUUGAAAUUUUAAAAUCAAGAUUCCAUAAAAGAUCAAACUUUUUAGUACCAAAUUCAAAUGGAGUGAAGAAUCAAUUAAAACAAACCCAUUACUUUCAAGAAAUUCAAAUACAACAAAGUGGGGUUGGUAAAAAAGAAAAAACUAUAGGCGCUAUGUGAUACUUACGGAUUCUAAAUAGGAAUAAGCGGCUUUACGGGCAUCAGGAGAAGAGUUCCAAUCAAGGGCAGCCACAAUAGCUCGAGCUACAUUGCUUGCUGUACCAUUUUCCUCCAUCUCUUUUAGCUGUUAAUUAAUGCUUCAAUAGAUUCUUGAAGUUGUACGGUAUUCACCUUUGAAAAGAGUUUUAAAAAGGAAGAUAGAAAAAACUGAAAAGAGGGUUUUAAGCAAAUAUGUCAGUUAUUUGCAUAGAACUGUGAUGGUGGACAUAGUGGGGAGAGAGGAAAGGUGCUGAGUAAUUUUGGGGACCAAUGUUUCUCUUAUUUAUUCUUUUCUUUCUCCUUUGGUUUGAAUUGUUUACUCAGGUCCUCCCAUUGUUUCCUAUUUUCUUCUUCUCCCCUUUAUAGAAUCUUCAGAUGAUUUGCUCUUAACUUUCUUAUAUUUU
rnacentral:lncRNA from 1 species